CAAUCUUCUUAUAGCCUAGGCCAUCUGUAUGUAGAGCAACAAUUCUUUUUUUCAGAUCCUCAGAGAGUUCUUUGCCGUGAGGUGCCAUGUUGAACUUCCAGUGACCAGUGUGAGAGCGAUAACACCAAAUUUAACACAUCUGUUCCCCAUUCACACCUGAGACCUCGUAACACUAUCAAGUCACAUGACACCGGGGAGGGAAAAUGGCCAACUG